AUUCCAGCUCCAAUAGCGUAUAUUAAAGUUGUUGCAGUUAAAAAGCUCGUAGUUGAAUUUCUGGUGGGAGUGUACAGUCCGACACUGAGUGUUGGUUCUUGUGUGUCUCCGGCCAUCCUUGGAGUGAAUCUGUCUGGCAUUUAGUUGUUGGGCAGAGUAUCUCCAUCGUUUACUGUGAGGAAAGGAAAGUGUUCAAAGCAGGCUUACGCCGUUGAAUCUUUUAGCAUGGAAUAAUAAGAUAGGACUUGGUAUCCUAUUUUGUUGGUUUUCGGGAUCUAAGUAAUGAUUGAUAGGGAUAGUUGGGGGUGCUAGUAUUUUGCGGCCAGAGGUGAAAUUCUGUGAUUCGCGAAAGACUAACUUAUGCGAAAGCAUUCACCAAGGAUGUCUUCAUUA
rnacentral:rRNA from 1 species